AAAGAAAACAGUAAGAGAAGAGAAAUGGAAGAGAAGACUAGGAAGGCAAAGCUUGGAAAAGAGAAAGCCGAACAAGAAAAGUUAGAAUACCAGAAGAAAAAGAAACAAUUCAUUGAUAUAAACAGAGGGGGUGAUGAGACUGGUCUGAUGGAUAAUCUUCUAGAAGCCCUACAAUCAGUUGCAGAAUUCUGAGACUGACGAAAGUGGAUUCCAAGGAAUCCAGUGGUAAAUCAACCCUGUGCAACAAGGGCUAAUCCAAGAUCAUCUACAUAACCAGCCUGAGUGCUGUUUUAAACAGGAUUGGGUGAUUGUACAACAUGACUUUUUAAGAUAAUCAAGCAGCAAAAGUUUCUAGUGGAAACAUGAUUUAAAAAAAAAAAAGAAAGAAAAGAAAAGAAGGAGGAAAGAGAAAGAGCACGGAGGUAAAAAAGCACGAGACAAUAACAGUCUCACUUAACUGGAAUACAAGGUGCUAGCUCAUUGUAAAACACUGCAUACUGGAGAAAAGAUGAAUUUGGUCUAUACCUAAUCUACAAGAUUGACAAGCUUGAGAGCGCAUAGCAAUAAGCUCAGUUAUAGAAUGGAUAAUGAAGUUGCAUGAUAGGCCAUGAAACUAGGUUCACCAAGUAAGUGAAGGAAUAAGCCUUCAGGAUGCAAUUUAAGAAAUAACUUUUAUUUAAAUCACAGAGACAGAAAGCAUCCUGUUAGAAUUAGAAGAUAAUAGUAGAAAAGAGCACCUGCCAAGAGGGAACAUGUACAUUCUCAGGUAAAUUUUUAGUCCUGUCUCAUGAAUAAAAGAGUAGACUAUAUGGCUUUUGGUUUUAGACGCCAUUGUGCUAUUAAACAUCCUUUGGGUUGUUGAGUAGGAGGAAUUAAGAAAAAUUAGAAAUAUCAUGAUCUUCAUGAUGAUUUGUGAUGAUCGUCACAUAAUAGAAAACUGGUACUUUCAUUACUAGUCCAGAAAUCAAUUUUGAUUUAAAGCAAUAACUGGUUAACUACCAAAUACCAGUUAAUAUCUUUCUUACUAUAAGCUCCUGGAAGGCAAGGCUUGGAUCCUGUUUAAAUUGAUGUCUCCAUGGACAGCAUCAAGCAGAUAUUCAGUAAAAUCAGUUGAGUUGAAUUGCAUGGUGAAUUCUAUUUUGUUUAAAAUUUUCUUCUAUGCUUAGGCUUCCUUCUCUUCUUGUGUCUUUGUGGUGCAUAUCAACUUCCCACUCUCCAGCACUAUGCAGGGUUUCUGGUAGAUGGGCAGAUUUUCUUCAAGCCGACGGAUUCAGGCUUCGUCCAUCCUAGGGUUCUGCCAUCCCCUAGGGCUGCUGAGUCCUCUACACCUGAUUCCUGUUGAUGAGCUCUUUAUAUAUGUACUCUUCUGAAAAUAUCAUCGAGGCGUGUUGCCAGUCUUCUAUUAUUAGCAAGAAUUCCACCUCUUGUG
rnacentral:lncRNA from 1 species